rnacentral:rRNA from 1 species
UACGAAGGGGGCUAGCGUUGCUCGGAAUCACUGGGCGUAAAGGGUGCGUAGGCGGGUUUUAAGUCAGAGGUGAAAUCCUGGAGCUCAACUCCAGAACUGCCUUUGAUACUGAAAGUCUUGAGUAUGGGAGAGGUGAGUGGAACUGCGAGUGUAGAGGUGAAAUUCGUAGAUAUUCGCAAGAACACCAGUGGCGAAGGCGGCUCACUGGCCCGGUACUGACGCUGAGGUGCGAAAGCGUGGGAGCAAACAGG